rnacentral:rRNA from 1 species
CUAAGAAUAUUUCCGCAAUGGGGGGAACCCUGACGGAGCGACGCCGCGUGGGCGAGGAAGGCCGGAAGGUUGUAAAGCCCUUUUGCGCGCGAGGAAGAAGGGGAGGAGGGAAUGCCUUCCCGGUGACUGUAGCGCGCGAAUAAGCGCCGGCUAAUUACGUGCCAGCAGCCGCGGUAACACGUAAGGCGCGAGCGUUGUUCGGAAUCAUUGGGCGUAAAGGGCGUGUAGGCGGCCCUGCAAGCCUGGCGUGAAAUCCCCGGGGCCCAACCCCGGAACCGCGCUGGGAACUGCUGGGCUUGAGCCGCUGUGGCGCAGCCGGAAUUCCAGGUGU